CGAAUGGCUUUUUUAAAAGCCAAAAACAUAAUCCAUCUCAGAAUC
rfam:Smittium mucronatum strain ALG-7-W6 scaffold-8709, whole genome shotgun sequence.